rnacentral:rRNA from 1 species
UACGGGGGGGGGCAAGCGUUGUUCGGAAUUACUGGGCGUAAAGGGUUCGUAGGUGGCUGGCUAAGUCAGACGUGAAAUCCCUCAGCUUAACUGGGGAACUGCGUCUGAGACUGGUCGGCUUGAGUGCAGGAGAGGAACGCGGAAUUCCAGGUGUAGCGGUGAAAUGCGUAGAUAUCUGGAGGAACACCGGUGGCGAAGGCGGCGUUCUGGACUGCUACUGACACUGAGGAACGAAAGCCAGGGGAGCAAACGGG